rnacentral:rRNA from 1 species
GACGAACGCUGGCGGCGUGCUUAACACAUGCAAGUCGAACGGUGAAGCGCCUUCCUUUUUGGUGGGUGUGGAUGAGUGGCGAACGGGUGAGUAACACGUGAGUAACCUGCCCCCUUCUUCUGGAUAACCGCAUGAAAGUGUGGCUAAUACGGGAUAUUCUGGGUCUGUCGCAUGAUGGGUCUGGGAAAGAUCUUGUUUCGGUGGGGGAUGGGCGCGCGGCCUAUCAGCUUGUUGGUGAGGUGAUGGCCUACCGAGGCGGUGACGGGUGGCCGGCCUGAGAGGUUGGACGGUCUCGCAGUGACUGAGGCACGGCCCAGAUACCGACGGGAGGCGGCGGGGAGGAAUAUUGCACAACGGGAGCAAGACUGAGGCAGCGACGCCGCGUGAGGGAUGGAGGCCGUCGGGUUAGGAACCUCUUUCGGGAGGGAAGCAGGCCUGCCUAGUUUGUGGGUGGGUGGACGGUAGCAGGAUAAGAAGCGCCGGCUAACUACGG